rnacentral:rRNA from 1 species
GACAGAGGGUGCAAACGUUGUUCGGAAUUACUGGGCGUAAAGCGCGUGUAGGCGGCUUGGCAAGUCGGGUGUGAAAGCCCUGGGCUCAACCUAGGAAGUGCACUCGAAACUGCCUCGCUCGAGUACCGGAGAGGAAAGCGGAAUUCUCGGUGUAGAGGUGAAAUUCGUAGAUAUCGAGAGGAACACCGGUGGCGAAGGCGGCUUUCUGGACGGUUACUGACGCUGAGACGCGAAAGCGUGGGGAGCAAACAGG